AGCCACAGAGGGGGGAAAUGAUAAGGGCUCAUAUUGUCCCUGUCUCCCCAGCCCCCUUCUGUGACUAAGGUAAAUGGAAGGUAAAGGACCCCUGGGCAGUUAAGUCCAGUUAACGGCGACUAUGGGGUUGCGGCGCUUAUCUCACUUUCAGGCCGAGGGAGCCGGCAUUUGUCCACAGCUUUGACCAGACAGCUUUCUGGUCAUGCGACCAGCAUGACUAAACCGCUUCUGGCGCAACAGGACACCGUGACGGAAGUCAGAGUGCACGGAAAUGCCGUUUACCUUCCUGCUGCAGUGGUACCUAUUUAUCUACUUGCACUGGCGUGCUUUUGAACUGCGAAGUUGGCAGAAGCAGAGACAGAGCAACAGGAGCUCACCCCAUUGCAGGGAUUUGAACCACCAACCUUCUAAUCGGCAAGCCCAAAGAGGCUCAGUGAUUUAGACCACAUUGCCACCCGCAUCCCAGUUUCAACUGGAUGAGUUAUUGGAACACGUUGUUGGUGUUACUGCUUUAUUUACAUAUUUAUUUUUUUGUUAGUUAAUAGUAUAUUAUUUAUUAGGUGGUUGUUAAUGUAUUUAGAUAUUUAUUUAUUGUUGUUGUUGUGGAAGGUUAACCCACCUUCCCUGGUAUUACAACCCCAAUCCAAAUUCUGUUUCUUCGAACAGCUUUUAACAAAAGAAAAUUACAUUGGGGAAUCCAAUCCUGGAUUUUUCAGGCCCACUGAAUUCAACAGUACUCAUUUCUGGUUAGACAUGGUUUAGCAUUGCAGCCUUACUGUCUGGCAGCAGCUCUCCUGGACUCUCAGACAGGGGUCUGUCUGCUACAUCACUUGCUACCUGGUUUUGGUUUUGGUUAGUUUUUUUGAGAUGUCAGAUUUAAACUGGGAUUGAUUUUUUAUUGUCAAAACUUUAAAAAAACACACAUGGUGGUUAAGUUUUUGAAGAUGGGAGGGCAGUGCACUUGAAAAGCACAUACAAACUUGGAAAAUUAUUAGCAAGUUUAGAUAAUAGUGCGUGAUCAUUUUCUUUCAUUUUCCUUUCAUAACAUCCUUGUAAAUUGUAGUAGUACGGUUUUCCACUUCAGAAAUAGAGUUGAAGCUGCAUUGGUGUCCAUCUGAUGAGUCUGCAGCUGAUCCCCGUCUAUGAAUUUCUUAGAGCCAGGAUUCUAGGAGUUGCAUUUUAGUAGCAUUGACUGCACAAUUCAGAAACACAUUGUAAAGCUUUGAUCCAGGCUUUUAAAAGGGACACUGACUGCAAAAUGCAGCGUGUAGCAAUAACACAAUGUCAGUUCCAUACCCACUGUGACUUGUUCCUUUUGUUUCUUUUUUAAAAGCACAUUGUGAUUACAGCAGGAUGGACUCAGAAUUUUCUUCUUUCAAAUGUUGGUUUGUUCUGGUAAAGGGUUAUGUAGCUUAUCAAGCUGACCUUCUACAGAAUGCAAUAAAACUAGUUUCUUGCU